rnacentral:tRNA from 1 species
UUCCUGGUGAUCUAGUGGUUAAGAUUCAGCACUUUCACAGCUGUGACCUGGGUUCAAUCCCUGUCUGGGAA